rnacentral:rRNA from 1 species
UACGUAGGGUGCGAGCGUUGUCCGGAAUCACUGGGCAUAAAGGGCGCGUAGGCGGUCGGUCAAGUCUGAUGUGAAAGCCCACGGCUCAACCGUGGAGGGUCAUUGGAAACUGGGGGGACUUGAGUGCAGGAGAGAAAAGUGGAAUUCCACGUGUAGCGGUGAAAUGCGUAGAGAUGUGGAGGAACACCAGUGGCGAAGGCGACUUUUUGGCCUGUAACUGACGCUGAGGCGCGAAAGCGUGGGGAGCAAACAGG